GACAGAGGGGGCGAGCGUUGUCCGGAGUCACUGGGCGUAAAGCGCGCGCAGGCGGAAACCUAAGUGUCGUGUGAAAGCCCCCGGCUCAACCGGGGGAGGCCAUGGCAAACUGGGUCGCUCGAGCUGCGGAGAGGCCCCUCGAAUUGCCGGUGUAGCGGUGAAAUGCGUAGAGAUCGGCAGGAAGACCCAGGGGGAAGCCAGGGGGCUGGCCGCAGGCUGCCGCUGAGGCGCGACAGCGUGGUGAGCAAACCGG
rnacentral:rRNA from 1 species